AAAGUGUUCUCUCCAUCUUGUUUUUCUAUUUUUGGCAGGUUCUGCCAUGGAAGCUGUGGCAAUUACUACAGCUGAAGUUGGACUAAGACUUAAGGUGACACCCUCUAGAAUGGAGCUCUGUAAAGAUGAAUUUUAAAGCCAAUCUUCAAUCCAAAGUUGUACUCACAUGCUUCAGAUGAGAUUCAUUUUGGACUUGUGGGCAGCAGAAAGUGACAUUAAUGAAGGAAACAUCAUUCAGAAAUCAAGAUGUUCUUUCUGCCAGGCAAUAUCCUCUGCUACCUUGCUGAUCAUCUCAUUCCUGCUACAGAAAAUGACAAUGUGGAGUUGAGGUGAGUCCAUAGUGAAAUGUUUUAUUUAUAUGUAAGCAAGAGCCUUGGAUCUCUUCAACUAGGUACCAGUGUUUGCAGUCUGUCUUUCCUAGACACCCUGCCAAAGGGAGGAAAGUUUCACCAGAAGACAACGCCAUGCACCUAAGCUGAACUUUCCUUCUGAACUGCUCUAUGCACGCUACCUGCACCCAACAAAGCUGCUUCAAAGAAGUUUGUUUUUUUCUCAGAAUGGAAGUUCAAAGCCAAAUAGCCUCAAGAAUCAGUAGCCAGAUUCGGUAUUCCAAUAGCUGCUGUUGUAUUUUUUCCAUGCAAAAUAGCUUGAGAUAAAUCAAAAUAUUCUGAUGCAACUUUUUAAUUUCAUUGUAAUUGUAAAUUAAAAAGCUAGCUGCAAAUUAGUUUCUACAGUAUUGAAAUAAUUCACAAUUAUCAUUUCAGCUUUUCUGCUUCAUAAAACAUGCAUUUUCACAUGCUUUGCUAUGAUCAGUUACCUAAAAAUAUGGGAAUUCCUACAGAGCUGGAGUUCCGUUUUACAGCCUGCCUUAGAGCUGGCUCUUAAAAUGUGAAGGAUAAGAAAAAAUCUUUGCACAGAUCCCUCUCUUCAGAAGGCACUUCUUUGGGGAACCUUGUGUGAACAAAGCUAACACUGAUUAGGCAGUCCUGGGACUGAAAAAAAAAAAAUCAAAAAAACUUGCAUUACAGAAUCAUGGAACCACAGAAUGGCUGAGGUUGGCAGGGACCUCUGGAGGCCAUCUGGUCCAACCCCCUGCUCAAGCAGGGACACCCAGAGCAGGCUGCCCAGGACCAUGUCCAGGUGGCAUUUGAAGAUCUCCAAGGAGGGAGACUCCACGACCUCUCUGGGCAGCCUGUGCCAGUGCUCAGUCACCCACCCAGCAGAGAAGUGCUUCCCGGUGUUCAGAGGGAACCUCCUGUGUGCCAGUUUGUGCCCAUUGCCUCUUGUCCUGGCACGAGGCACCGCUGAAUAGAGCCUGGCUCUAUCUUCCUUGCAUCCUCCCUUCAGGUAUUUACAUACAAUGUAUAUUUUAUAUACUUAUAAAAUCCUGGUUGCCAUAGUUCAACAGACUUUGGCUGGAGCAGUUCUGAACUUUGUGUGAGCAUAUGCGGUUCCUACCUCACAUCUAGCUUUGGAGAACUGAGCAUCCUCCACCAAGCACUAAGCACUACCUGCAGGGAUCCUCUUCAAGAAAAGUCGAAGGCAUCCCCUACCGUGCCAAACAGACUUGGACCUGCCUGGGACAGACUUCCACUUUCAGAAUUGAGAUAUUUCUCUGGAAAACGUAAGUAAUGUAGCAAGUCUUUUAAAUCUCUAUGAUUCAGAGGAGGAUAAAUUCUACCCCCUGUGUGCAUUUGUGCAUUAGUAACUACAUGGGCUUUCACAGUGUCUAGUGAAGGGGUAUUGUGUGGCACAGAACAUCUGCCACGCAGCGCCCUGCAUCUCUCACUGGAGGCACACUGCUGUCUGGCGUCCCGUGCUUGCCAGGUCCAAGCCAAGCCACCUGGAGCUGCUGUAGGAGACGAGAAUAAGGCCUUUCCCUCUCGCACCUCAGUGCUAACCACUUCUGGUAAACAACUGACCCAUACAGAUAGCCCGUUUCAGGAGUCACUGGAAAUAGGCAAUAACCCUCUUAACUAAGACUGAGGAGAAAAGAAAAUCCAGGCUUUACUGGUGUAUAUCACGGAGCAUGGGGAGGGUGGCUUGUAAAUGAACAGCUGCCUUCUCAGAAAGUAUUAAAUUAUUGUGGAGGGCUGCUGGCAGCGCUGUGUACUGAGAUGGAUAAAAAUCAGAGUCAGAGCUGAGAUGUGUCAUAAGGAAUUUUAUUACAAGAUUUCUGGAUAUCAGUGUCAGAAUUUUGAUUGGCUUCUCAAUGGAAAAAAAAAAGAAAAAACUUUAUUGAUGUAGAAUUAAUGUUGUUUUAAUUAGAAAUAAUGGUUUAAUUAAAAGUGAUGGCUAACUGUUCAUUGUAAAAGUGCCAUGAUUGUUAUACUCUAACAAAAUAUUUGUGCUUGAAAGUGGAUAAUACUAGAACAACACCUGCUUUUUACAAGGCACCUUUUAUCAGUAGAUCUCAUUAGUAUGACCCACUAUGAAUAGGAUAAUCUUAAAAAGCACUUGGAAAUGUUUAUUAAACAUUAAUGAGUUCUGUCCACAGCCCUUGGGGGGAAAAACAUGCUCUUAUAACAAUUUGCCAGUUGGAUAAACUAAGGCAGGUGGUUUAUGCAAAUUAUUAGAGGUCAACACAGAAAAAUAGCACCUCAUGCACCUCGAAUGCACUUGUCCUCAUCAAACAGCUUCUGCACUCUUUGCAUUUGUACUUUAUUGAAUUGAAUUUACAAAGACUCUUCUAAAACGCUGCUGCCACAGCUGCAGGCAAGGUAGCAUCUGGAAAAAUAUGCAAUAAUACACUUAUUAGAUAUGAAUACAUUCAAAAUACGAGGCAGGCAUCAUGGCUCUGUAAAAAGUCCAUCUUCAGAGCCACUGGAGUUUGGACGUAGGUUAUAAAGCGGAAAGAUGAAUUAACUGCUGAGAACAGAAACUUCUGUUCCAUAUCCACCUCCUUAUUUCAUCCCAUACUCCUCCUUUUGUUGUUUGUUUACAAAAAAAAAUCAACAUAUUAAUGGAAAACAAUAGUCUGUCACCCAAGCUCAGAUGGGAGUGGGUUAGCGACAAUCCUCUGCGCAAUCUCUUACAUCUGGAAUCUGGUUAUAAAUCCGAGCCACUGGCGGUUAUCCCAUUUUACUGCUGUACAACAAUGUGGGUAGAAAGUCUUUUAAGACUUAUUUUUUCAAUAAACAGUGAGAGGCAGAGCAUGGGGAUGCCUACGUGCGUGCCAAUCUGGAAGAAGCCCUCCCUGAGGAGCAGCUUGUCUGAGCACUGCUGCUUACGGCGGGGUUGGUGGUGGGGCUGCAGCACGGGACCCGCAUGGGGCUCUUCUGCAUGACCCCACGGCCCUGCUGACUGCUCCACACGCAUAUCGGCAGGCAGAUUGCUCAGUGGUUUGCAAAACCAUCCUGAUGAGGAUUUUCAAAGUCUCUUCCAAUCCAUAAAUUAUGUUUUCAGAGACGCUAUUUAAGUGGAGCUAACAAGCUGCAUUGCUAUCGGCCAGUCUGCAAAAAUGCUGAAACGUUGUUUGACAAGCAGGAGUGGUGACAUUUCUGAAAGAUUGUCACAACAUUAGUUAUUUAAUAUUGUACAGAAGUCAAAGACUCUUCCCUGAGCAGGGAUAUUUCUAUCACAGAUUCAGCAUACUAAAUACUGAAUACUGACAGGAUUACUAGCAGCUAAAAGUGAGAACUAAUUGACAUUUUGGACACUACGGUAGGGGUCUACUAAGCAAACCUUGUUGAAGUUUUGUUGAAUAUUCAGAUACAGAUGCUAAGCCGAGAACAUAAGCAGCAAGUGAUUAAAAAGGUAAAUACUAUUCAAUUAUAGUCUCGGUAGUUAUGUUUUUCUGGUUAUUUUUAAAUCUACCUAAGGAGCAAAUAUUCAUGAUGUGAUUUUUAAAACACAGUUCAAUUAAACAUAAAUUGAUUAACUUUAAUCUUCGAGG